UUCAUCCCUUCUUCAGGGAGUUUAUUUUUAGAGGACUCAAGCAUGUCUAUUUGAAACAGUGAACACUGAACAGUCUCAAACCGCCAGUCGACGCUAUGGAAGAAGUUGAAGAGCCCAAGCAGAAGGACAGGAGUAGAAAAAAGCAGCUUUAUGCUUCUAUCAGAAACCUUAUGGAGUUUUACUUCAGCCCUUCGAAUCUUGCCAAAAAUAAUAUGACUGCCGAGUUGCUGAAAACCAAAGGGAGCAUCGAAUUGACUGAAUUCCUCAGUUAUAACAAGAUACGCGCUUUGACGAAUAAUAUCAAAGACCUGCGGAAGGCACUCAAGCAUUCAACUGAGCUGGAAGUUACCGAUGAAAUGAAAGUUAAGCCUAAAAAUCUUGUAAUGAAAGACAACAUUGACGAGUGCACCAUUUAUGUUGAACAUGUGCCACCUGAUGCUGAUCAUGACUGGCUUAAAGAACAAUUUUCCAUUUAUGGCUCUGUUGAUUAUAUUUCCAUUCCUAAAUACAGCAGUUCUAAGAAAUGUAAAGGAUUUGCUUUUAUUGAAUUUUCCAAACCAGAGUUUGCUGAAAAAGCUGUGGAGGAAUACAAAAAGGUUGGAAGUUAUUUAUCGACAGCUGAAAUGGACCCUAAACAUUUAUUAAGUAUAGCAACUUACGAAACAAAAUCUGAAGGGCAAUUAUUAAAAGAAAAUGCAAAUGUCGCUUCACAGCCUUGCGAAACAAAGAAAAGAAAAGCAGACAAAACUCCUGAACAUCACGAGGAAGAAGUUAAAGCAAAAAAGCAAAAAGCAAAUUUUCAACCUGAAACUGAAGAGGCCGAUAAGCUCCAAGAAGAAGUUGCUGAAGGUGAAGAAGUUACAGAAGAGGUUAGAAAAAAGAAAAACCGAAACAAGAAAAAGAAAGCAAAGAAGGCUAAAGUAACGGCUGAAACAUCUGGUUUCCAAAUUUUGUCAAAGAAGGAUUGGAAACACCUAAGAAAUAAAUACCUGAUGACGCAAAGGGAAAAAACUACUAUGUUGAAACAGCACUUAAGACAGUUAAAACAAAAACAACAAGACCAUACAGCAAAUAAAUACAGAGAACAAGAGGAAAAUAAUCAUAAUAUUAAUCAAAAGAAUAGUAAUAGUACCAUCCCCAGUGAAUUUACCCCUGGUAUAAUUGUAAAGAUCAACAUGAAUGAACCUGUUAUUAGCAGAAAACAAUUUAAAGAUGAAAUUAAUGUCGUAAGCUCCGCAGUAAAAUACGUUGAUGUAAAGGAAGGAGCGAUGACAGUGUACGUCAGGCUAAAAACAGAAGAAGACACCAGAAAAUUUUGUGAAGAUGCACCAUGGCAAGAAGUUGAAAUUUUAAAGGGCGAAGAAGAGCUGGAGUAUUGGAAAAGAAUUCAGAAAGACAGGGAAGAAAAAUUAAACAAGCCAAAAGUAAAACAGAGAGGAAAAGAAAAGCUAUUUAAAAAAGCUGAGAAAGUACUUGGCCACCAUAUAACAUUUAAUUGAAAAUUAUACCUGAAAAUAAUCGUAAGAGAGAAAAGUGCUGAAUCAAUUAUAAAAUUCAAUGAUAGGCUAGCCAGGAAGAUCAGAGCUGAAACACACCACCCAAUAUGGAAAAUGCUGAGAAUGGGCAAACUGAAAGGACAACCAAGCUGUAAAAAAAUAAGGUUUAAAAAAUUUACAAUCAAUUUCAAUCUAAAAUUCAUCUUUUUGCUAUUCUUCCUAUUGUACUACUCAACCUAUAAGUCUAGAAACAACCUUAAUGAAACUAUAUUCUACUUCGUAAGUCACGAAUCUUGGAUCAUGGAAAAAGUAAAAUAAGGUUUGGAACAAAGGGUAAUCUGAAAGAGCGAGAUAUGGCCUGUGUGUUGGGCAAAGAGGUAUCAAAUUACUGUUGAUUAAUUUUGAGAUAUUUGUUGUAACAUCACACUGUCAGUUAGGCUUUUUUUUCUUGGCAUAAUUCUUUGUUUGAAAACAUAAUAAAGCAAAUUUUGUGGCAACCUAGGAAGAUAGUUUAAGGAAUCCGAAGUACUGAGCCAGAAAUGUUUUUUU
rnacentral:misc_RNA from 1 species